rnacentral:rRNA from 1 species
AUGGAUCCGGUGUCCCGGCCGCGCGGACAGCCUGAUCCGGUGGUCGUUGGCGGCCGGCAGCGGCUUAUGCGGCGGUCGGUGUGCGCGAUCUGGCGCGUCCCUUCCUUCCUUGUUCGGUGUGCGGGCCAGCCAGGCCGGGCUGCGCUUCCUCUUGGUCGCCGGUUCUGUACAGGAGGUGCUGCUGGUGGCGGAGAUCUAGUUCGGGCGAAAUCCCUGGCCGGCCAUGACCGGCCGCGCCAACGGCGACGCCUCAGGGCGCCGUUUCCCUCCUUGGAGGCGUCGGUAUGGACUAAUCUCCUCACUUCACCUUCCCCUAGGUUUCUCGGGUGA